UUUUUUUCCUUUUAUUUUUCUCUCACUGCGUUCCAUUGGUCCAUCACGUAUUCCCGCAACACAGAAUCAAGUCCUCUCUCACGUGCUCAUAUCGCCGCCGCCGUACUCCACCGCAGCGCCGCCGUAGAAUGGCUCGUCUUGGAGAAGGAGACAAACGAUGGAUCGUGGAAGAUCGACCCGACGGAACCAACGUUCACAAUUGGCACUGGGCGGAAACUGACUGCCUCCAUUGGUCACGAAACUUCCUCACUAACCUUUUAGCCAACAAAACCCUAGUUGACGGCGAAGGUAACCUCAAAAUCCGGACGAAAAAGAUCGAAAAGCUUGAAGGAGAAGCUUAUGUGAAUAUCCGAAAGGGGAAGAUUAUUCCGGGUUACGAAUUGAAUUUGGUUGUCUCCUGGGAAGGGGAAGUGAAGGAAGCUGAUGGUAGUAGUGUGAUGAAAAUUGAAGGAAAUGUUGAAUUUCCUUAUAUUGCUGAUGAGAAUGCUGAUGAAGAUCCGGAAGUUAAGGUUUCGGUUAAGGAUGAAGGACCUAUUGGGAAGAGAUUGAAGGAUGCGUUUGUUGUAAAAGGAAAGCCCUUUGUUUUGGAGCAAGUGAAGACGUAUGUUAAAGCUAUGGCGAAAGGUGGUCCUGCAAAGGAAGAAGGUGAGGUGAAAAAAAUAGUUAAGAGGCCUGCCGGCGCUGGGAAUGUUGCCCUUCCUCCAACGACAGCUGUGGAUGAGAAGGCAAAGGUUGUUGUGGCUGAGAAGGAGAAGAAGAAGGAAGGGUUUAAGACAAUUACGAUGACGGAGAAGUUUAACUGUAGGGCAAAGGAUUUGUUUGAGAUAUUGAUGGAUGAGAAUAGGUGGAAGGGUUUUACUCAGAGUAAUGCAAGGAUAAGCAAAGAGGUGGGAGGAGAGUUUAGCAUAUUUGAUGGUUCAGUGACUGGAACUAAUGUGGAGUUGCAAGAAGGGACGUUGAUUGUGCAGAAAUGGCGAUUUGGUAACUGGCCUGAUGGUAUACAUUCCAUGGUUCGAAUUACUUUUGAGGAGCCUCAAUCUGGAGUUACAGUUAUCAAUUUGACACAUACAGAUGUUCCAGAGGAAGACAGAUAUGGUAAUGCAACUGUUGUGGAGAACACGGAGAGAGGAUGGAGGGACCUUAUCUUCAACAGGGUACGGGCUGUUUUCGGUUUUGGAAUCUAAAUUCUCCACAAGCGUGGAAUUUUAAAAGCGAUGCUUCCCUUCAUUAUUGACUGCACACUGUAUGAGUCCGUUCAACUGAGUUUUUCCCGAGUCGAUUAUCAGUUUUUUCGAGCUUAAUAACUCAAUUUGAUGGUGAACUUUUAGAAUGUCUCGAUGGAACUUGUUCAACUUGUUGUCUUCAAUGAAAACUUAUUCAUCUUUGUUGGAUGAUAGUAGCGUCCAGUUUUUCGUUUCAUAAUCGCUUGUUUGGUGUGGUGUAUGCGUCAUUUUGAUAUCUAUGCAUACUGGUGGCAAUCCG
rnacentral:misc_RNA from 1 species